ACGCUCGACACCUACAGGCAGCAGUAGGGAAUCUUCCACAAUGGACGCAAGUCUGAUGGAGCAACGCCGCGUGAGUGAAGAAGGUUUUCGGAUCGUAAAGCUCUGUUGUUGGUGAAGAAGGAUAGAGGUAGUAACUGGCCUUUAUUUGACGGUAAUCAACCAGAAAGUCACGGCUAACUACGUGCCAGCAGCCUCGGUAAUCUGAGCGGGCUGGCAAGGC
rnacentral:rRNA from 1 species